rnacentral:lncRNA from 1 species
CAGGAACAACCUCUUUAAAGAAAAAGCAACAUCUUCCGACUCUUUUGCAACAUCUUCAGUACAUCGAAUAAAAGAAGUCUAAAUGAUUGAUAAAAUGUGAUAUAUGCGGCCUCGAGCAACAAAACAAAAGUUAUAUAACAUGUCCACUUCAUCCCAAUGAACUUUGGGGUGAUGGAAAAGAGAUUCCAAAGUCCAAUGCAACAUGCUUGCUGGAAAAAAGAAGACAGUGGUAUCAUGCUUGCCCUCUCCUUGGCAUACCGACAUUAUUAAGCCACAAGAUUCUACUUACCUACUUCUUCAACAUGCGAUUACACUUGGUGGUAAUUACUAGAAAGCCAUGUACCAACCCACGGCUAGACAUUCAUAUGUAGUCAAUUAUCAUCUUUGCGGAUGUGUCGGAGGCAAGCUAGGUUAGGUUACGUUUAUGUAGCCAAUUAUCAUCUCUGGAUAUGUCAGAGGCAAGCUAGGUUAGGUUAGAUUAGCCUCGGGGGCAACCUUCAAAAUGUCUUUGUAUAAAGACCUCAGGAAUCACGGUACCUAAUGUUAGAGCUAGUCCCAGAAAAUUUACCACAAGGUAAUUUUGACAACCCAACAAGACAAUAAAACGAAAAGAAUAAAAGCGAGACAAGAACACCAGAACACCAGAUAUACGUGGUUCGGUCAAUUGACUUUGACCUACAUCCACGGACGAAAGAGGAGCAAAUUACUACUGUAAAAGAGAGACAAUUACAAAUGCCUUAGGAAGAUGUUCCUAGGCCAUAAAACACCCGAAAAUACUAAACAAGAAAAAUCAAACUAUAAGUCCAAACUAUUUAACUGAGUAUGGACUUAAACCAAAGCAAACACUUAGGUUUUUCUUGUGGUGUCUCUGACUUCAAAGCCCAAGCCCUUAUUUAUAGUUCCAAUAGGAGAUAACAAGCCUAAUUUUCCCGAUGUGGGACUAUGGGACUUGCCAAACUAACAAAUUUUCACCUUGACAUGUCCCAACAAAACUUGCUCCACCUUCUUCAUAACAGCCCCAACGGGCAAUCACCAACAAUGAACACCAACCAAGUCCAAGCACUGCUUGAACUUGUGAACCGGAAGAGGCUUCGUAAACAUAUCAGCUGGAUUGUCCUUCGUAUGAAUUUUCUGAAUAAGGACUUUUCCCUCAGCAAUGGUAUCCCAUUUGCAUCCAACAAUUUUCUUACUCGAAGACGGCUUCACAAGAUCCCAAGUUCUAUUCUGAUGGAGAGAUUCUAUUUCUUCAUUCAUCGCAAUCAACCACUUAGCGGAAUUAUCACAAGAAACUGCAUCUGAGUAGGAAGUAGGCUCACUAACUUCACUUGUCUCUUCUGCAACAGACAAAGCAUAUACAACCAAAUUUGCAUAUCUUUGUGGUGGUCGAAUAUCUCUCCGUGGUCUAUCAUUGGCUAUGGAAUAUUGCUCUUCCUCUGGAUCAUCUGCGUCAGUAGACUCGGGACCACCUACUAGCAUUCUUUGAGUAGAACAGUUCGACUUAAAAGAAUCUGAACUACCAAUCUCAAGCUCCACCUGCUUCUGCGCACUAUCAUUUGUACAACUAGUAGAAUCCUCUUUGGAAGAUAACAUAAACAAUUCAUCAAAAGUAACAUCUCUACUGAUUAUAAAUUUUGAGGAUUUAGGAUUAGAACACCAUAAUCUGUAUCCUUUCACCCCAAAAGCAUACCCAAGGAAAAUGCACUUUUUAGCCCGAGGCUCUAAUUUUCCUUCAUUUAUAUGCAUGUAUGCUGGACACCCAAAAAAUUUUAAAUCAGAGUAAUCAGCAGGAGUACCUGACCAAACUUCCUCUGGAGUUUUAAAGUUAAGUGCUGUAGAAGGAGCACGGUUGACAACGUAACAGGCCAUAUGAAUCGCCUCUGCCCAAAAGUCCUUUGUCGACCCUGCAUUUGAGAUCAUACACCUCGCUCUCUCCAAGAGUGUUCUGUUCAUACGUUCGGUCACACCAUUUUGCUGAGGCGUCAUCCUAACAGUGCGAUGCCGAACGAUUCCUUCAUUUUUACAGAAUUCUUCAAAAUCACCUUCACAAAAUUCCAUGCCAUUAUCUGUUCGAAGUCGCUUAAUCCUGUUUGCUUCUCAAUCGAAGCAUUCCAUUGUUUAAAUGUUAGAAAAACAUUAUUUUUAUGCUUCAGAAAAUAAACCCAAACUUUCCUAGAAUAAUCGUCAAUGAAAGUCAACAUAUACCUGGCACCACCCUUAGAUUGAACAUGAGCUAGACCCCAAAGGUCUGAAUGAAUAUAGUCAAGAGUACCUUUCGUUUUGUGAACUGUCGGAGAAGUGAAGCUGACUCUUUUCUACUUUCCAAAAAUGCAGUGUUCACAAAAGUCUAGUAGCCCAGUACUCUGUCCGCAAAGUAGACCUCUUUUGCUCAAUAUGCUCAAACAUUUCUUGCUCAUAUGACCCAAACGCAUAUGCCAUAAUUUGGUGAUGUCAGAAUCAGACAAUGAUGAUGACGAGACUGCAACUGAGCCUGUGACAGUAGUUCCCUGCAGAAUAUAUAAGCUACCAGACAUACAAGCUUUCAUAACAACAAGAGCACUUCUAGAAACUUUCAUAACUCCACCUUCAGUUGUGUAUUUACACCCAAGGGCCUCUAGAGUGCCUAAAGAGAUGAGAUUCUUUUUUAAAUUAGGAACAUGUCUAACAUUAGUGAGCGUCCUCACAAUACCAUCAUGCAUUUUAAUUCGGAUUGUGCCUCUACCAACAACAUCANNNNNNNNNNNNNNNNNNNNNNNNNNNNNNNNNNNNNNNNNNNNNNNNNNNNNNNNNNNNNNNNNNNNNNNNNNNNNNNNNNNNNNNNNNNNNNNNNNNNNNNNNNNNNNNNNNNNNNNNNNNNNNNNNNNNNNNNNNNNNNNNNNNNNNNNNNNNNNNNNNNNNNNNNNNNNNNNNNNNNNNNNNNNNNNNNNNNNNNNNNNNNNNNNNNNNNNNNNNNNNNNNNNNNNNNNNNNNNNNNNNNNNNNNNNNNNNNNNNNNNNNNNNNNNNNNNNNNNNNNNNNNNNNNNNNNNNNNNNNNNNNNNNNNNNNNNNNNNNNNNNNNNNNNNNNNNNNNNNNNNNNNNNNNNNNNNNNNNNNNNNNNNNNNNNNNNNNNNNNNNNNNNNNNNNNNNNNNNNNNNNNNNNNNNNNNNNNNNNNNNNNNNNNNNNNNNNNNNNNNNNNNNNNNNNNNNNNNNNNNNNNNNNNNNNNNNNNNNNNNNNNNNNNNNNNNNNNNNNNNNNNNNNNNNNNNNNNNNNNNNNNNNNNNNNNNNNNNNNNNNNNNNNNNNNNNNNNNNNNNNNNNNNNNNNNNNNNNNNNNNAAGCUACCAGACAUACAAGCUUUCAUAACAACAAGAGCACUUCUAGAAACUUUCAUAACUCCACCUUCAGUUGUGUAUUUACACCCAAGGGCCUCUAGAGUGCCUAAAGAGAUGAGAUUCUUUUUUAAAUUAGGAACAUGUCUAACAUUAGUGAGCGUCCUCACAAUACCAUCAUGCAUUUUAAUUCGGAUUGUGCCUCUACCAACAACAUCACAUGCGGCAUUAUUGCCCAUCAAAAUAAUUCCACCAUUACAAGAUUCAUAUGUGGAAAACAAAUCCCUAUUGGGACACAUGUGAUAAGAACAACCCGAAUCUAAAAUCCAUUCAUUUUUAGACCUCGUCCUGUCAUCAAUAGCAGAGAAAAUAUUUCCAACAUUCUCAUCAGUUGCUACACUAACUUCAGCGGAUUCAAUAGUUUUCUCAACAAAUUUUUCCUUUUGCUUUAAUUUAUUUUUCAAUUUAAAGCAAUCAGAUUUAAUGUGCCUCAUUUUAUGACAAUAUCUGCAUUCCAAAUUUCUAUGUCUGGAUUUAUAUCUAGAUUUAGAUCUACUACUGUCAAAUUCUCUUUUAUCCAUUCUCCCCCUAACAACCAGACCCUUAGUCUGAUUUCUCUACUUUCCCUAGUGAUAUUCGUGUCUAUCUGCUCCUUAGAUUUCAGUGCAGAUUUAAUUUCUUGAUACGAAACUGUUUCUUUUCCAUAAAUCAAAGUAUCACGGAAAUGCUUAAAAGAUUGGGGAAGAGAACACAAAAGUAACAAAGCCUUAUCCACAUCAUCAAUUUUUGUAUCUAUAUUCUCCAAAUCCAUAACCAAAGAAUCAAACUUAUCAAGAUGUGAGAGUAUAGAUGUAUCUUCAGUCAUCCGAAGCAUAUAUAGACUCUGCUUCAAGUAGAGACGAUUCUCCACUGUCCUCUUCAUGUAAGGCUUUAAGCUUGUCCCACCCAACAAGGAAAGAAUAAAAGCGAGACAAGAAUACCAGAACACCAGAUAUACGUGGUUCGAUAAAUUGACUUUGACCUACAUUUAUGGACGAAAGAGGAGCAAAUUACUACUGCAAAAGAAAGACAAUUAUAAAUGCCUUAGGUGUUUCUAGGCCAUAAAGCACCCGAAAAUACUAAACAAGAAAAACCAAACUAUAAGUCCAAACUAUUUAACUGAGUAUGGAUUAAACCAAAGCAAACACUUAGGUUUUUCUUGUGGUGUCUUUGACUUCAAAGCCCAGACCCUUAUUUAUAGUUCUAAUAGGAGAUAACAAGCCUAAUUUUUUCGAUGUGGGACUAUGGGACUCACCAAACUAACACCUGAGUUGUAUAAAGACCUUAGUGAAUCACUGUUAUUUUUUUCUUGACAUUUGUAAUCAUACUCGAUGGAUUCAUUCUUGAUUUAUCAAUUCAUAUUAUGAAUAAUAAAUACUAUACAAAGAUUUUAAAAUAUAGGAAAAGUUAAAAUAAAAUUAAUACAAUUUUAUUUUAAUAGCCAAAAAAAUACCCCCCUAACGUGGAAAGUUUAUGGACAGUGAAUUUAUUUUGCAUAUUUAAAAUAUCAUUUAUGUUUCAUCAUUCUAUACAAAUUUAGUUUUCGUUUCAAGACUAGUGCAAGAAUAUUUUUUUUUUGUUUUCAUCUCGAAAGCUCUAUGCUUAGUAUUUUACAAAAAUAAAAGAACUGAAUAAUUAGUUGAUGGUUUAAUUAGAUUUAAUCUAGAUUCAAAAUUUGAACUUUUAACAAUUUUUCUAUGCAUAAUCAAAAUGUCAGAAUUAAGUAUCGUAUAAUAAGUAAGCAAUAGAUUAGAUGAUAUUAGUAAAUAAUAUAGUUAUAAAAAUUCUUGAUUUUACUGAUUUUGAAAUUAGUACGUGGAUUGAAUAAAGGGUAAAAGUUAUUCAACAAGAUAAGUAAGUUUUGAAACUUUAAAAAUCAUACAUGUGAAUAUUUUACUAUAUGCCCUAUGCUUCGACCUAUUUUAUCUUGAUGAUCAUAUAAAAUAUAUACAUCUCUAUCUUCUAGUUGAGAAAACUAAGGCUUUUGAUGCUUUUAACUCUUAUCAAGCAAAAUGUAGAGAAUCAAACGGAAAAUAAAAUUAUUAAUAAUAAAAUAAAAUCAAGAUUUUAGAUCAGAUAAAGAAUAUUAUAGAAAGGUACAUACAAAACAAAAACAAAUGAUGGAUUUAUUUGUUAGAUUUCUUAAAGAAAAGACACAAUAUAUAAUUAAUUCUUAGCACACCUCAACAAAAUGAGGUUGCUGUAGGAAGAAACAACACAUUUAUAAUCACACCAGAUAAAGAAGAUUGAAUCUAUCUUAAAUAAGAAAAAUUUUCAACCAUCCAAAAUCAAAUCUCAACAUCUAUAACAUAGAAUUGAAGACAUCAAAAGUAUUUGGUUCUCAUUCACAUACAUUAUAAAAUCUGUAUAUUUUAUAAUUAUUCAACGUCACUUGAUAAUUUCAUAAAAUUCAAAGUUCACUCAGAUUCUUAACAAUCACUUAUAAACUCAUAAGAUCAAUAAAACACCAUAUUCAUAUGCUAAUAAUUUAUCUUAAGUUCACAUCAAAGCAUAAAAAUAUCAUAUUUAAAAUCUCUAAACUUCCCAUAUUUAUUUUAACAUUUACAAAAACAAACACCAACUUAGGAUUUUGAACAACCUCACAACCAAAAUGUUCCUUUACAAUGAAAAAUCACAAAAUAAGAAAAAUAAUUUCUACUACACAACUACUGGAGUACCACCCUAGCCCAACUUAACAUGAGUAUAAAGAUAAGCUAAUCUGAAAAAUCUGUAUAGCAAUAAGGUGAGCUAUAAAAGUUUGGCAAAUAACUAUCAUAUAUAUAUAUAUAUAUAUAUAUAUAUAUAUAUAUAUAUAUAUAUAUAUAUAUAUAUAUAUAUAUAUAUAUAUAUAUAUAUAUAUUAUAAUAAUAAUAUAAUAUAAUAUAAUAUAAUAUAAGAGAGAUCAAAUUAUAUAGGAUAAGGAUCAAGAAAGAUACAAGAUAUGAAUUCAAGAAUCAUACUUAGCAUUUCAUAUAAUUCAUCCAUAAUAAAAAAAAGUAAGGAACAACAUAUAAAUAAAUGAAGAUCAAAAUAUAAGAUACGAUCUUAAGAGUCAUAUUUAUCAUUUCAUUCAAUUCAUUUAUAUCAAAAGAGUAAAUAAUUAGGCAUGAGCAUGUCCUUUGGUAUCAUAUCAAAACAACAUCGAUAUAGUGGGGAUCAUAACAUAAUAUAACUUUAUUUAUUUUUUAUGGAUAUAAUAUGUCUCUAAUGUCUAGAAGUUCAACCCCACUCAUAUCUAGAUGAAGUCAUAGACCAACAUGAGCUCUAUAACAUUAUAUAUAUAUAUAUAUAUAUAUAUAUAUAUAUAUAUAUAUAUAUAUAUAUAUAUAUAUAUAUAUAUAUAUAUAUAUUCGAUAAAAGAAACAAAAUAUCCCACAAAUAUCAAUAUACAAAUAAAGACCUCUCAAGUAAGAAAGGAUAAAUGUAUCAGAAGCAUAUGUGAAAUAAGAAAUGAAACAACAAAAAUAUACAUGUGUAUGUAUGAAGGAAUACCCAAGCUAAUAUAAACAUAUACAUAACUCAUUCAAUUAUAACAAAAAAUCAAUGAGUAAGAGAUAAAAAGAGGUGCAAUACGAGGCUCAUUUAUGGGAGGAUUUUUGGAUGAAAUCAAAUUGUAAAGGAUAGAAGCAAUAGUUGCAUAAGUUAGAGAACAAUUCAUUCGAAGAAUCUAUAGGGAAAAUUAUAGUUGUUAUCAAGAUAGAUAGUUGUGCUCUAAAUUAUUCAUGUAAAGCGUGGUUAGAAAGAUAUGUGAGUUUAAUUUCUAAUAAGAUAAGUUUUAUGUAAAUUAAAGUAGUCUAAAAAAGUUAUAAAUAAUUUAAUGCAGAUAGAUCAUAUCAUUUUGUCUCUGAUUAAUAGAAAUAAGUGGCCAAUUAAAAUAAGUGUUUGGAUAGGUAUUUGUACUUCAAAUCAUUCAAAUAAAGUGUUGAAAAAAAAAAUCAAAAAUUUAAUUUUUAACAAAAGAGAUUUUGUUCAAUUUAGAGUUUCGUAUAAAAUAUUAUAGUUGAAAUAGGACAUACAAGUCAAGAUUAUCAUAAUUUCAUAAUUAUAAUUCGAUAACUAAAUUGAAGUUUUACACUUACAAAGGGACAAAGCUUUACUAUUUACUCAUAAAAGAUCAGAUUUACUAUAGGAUUAUAUUAAACACUCAUCUUAAAGAACUAAUUUUCUAAGAUCUUAAAUUAAUCCAAAUUCCUAAACCAUGUGUCUUCUUCUUCUUCUUCUUCUUGGUGGCAAUCAUGCAUCAAAAUUGCAUUGACUAUCAACAUAUAACAAGCACGAGGUGUCACCUAGUGGCACUUGUAUUAUCCCCAUUUUUCUUUUUUUCUCGAUUGAUUUAUUAUGAUAUUUUUUAAAAUUAGUAUCAAAUUUUAGGAUUUACAGUUAAGUCUCUAUCUUUAAGCUUUCAACAUAAAAUUAUAUAUUUAAAGGUAUUAUUAAAUAAAUUCUUAUAUUAAAAUAAUAAAAAAAAUUAUCGAUAUCAUAAAUAAUUAAUAAAUGAAGGAUAUUACACUUAUGGACAUGGUAAAAAAUAUGAUAUGUAUCAAAUUUUAGGAUUCACUUAUGGACAUGGAAAUCACUAUCAAAUUCUAGGAUUUACAAUUAAGUCCAUAUAAUUAAGCUUUUAAUAUAAAAUUAUAUAAUUCAAGGCAUUAUUAAAAAAGUCUCACAUUAAAAUUAUCAAACAAAUUCUGGAUAUCAUAAACAAUUAAGAAAUGAAUGAUAUUACACUUAUGAAUAUAGUAAGAAGUAUGAUAAAUAAUUCUAAUUUGCUUUUAUCCUUUGAAGUAAAAUACUAAAGACUACUUUAUAUAUCUUAAAUAGAGUUUUAUCUAAAAUUAUUCCUAAAACUUAUUUUGAGUUAUAAAAAUAGUGAAAAUCAAUUUUAGGUCAUUUUUAUGUUUGGGCUUAUCUAAUUAGAGUGAGAAUUUAUAAUCCUUAUAUAAAGAAAUUAGACCCUUUUGAAUUAUAAGUGAUUUUUUUCAUUAGUUAUGCUUUUAAAUUUAAAAUAUAUAAAUUUUAUUAUGUCUCUCGUAUACCUAAAAUUGUUAAAGCGAGGAAUACCCAAUUUCUUAAGGAUCUUGAAUUCAGUUGGAGUCAUUUUUCUCAUAUAAAAUUUGAGAAAAUAAAGACUCGACAUAAGUAAUCAAAUAGUGAUGUUGAUUUAAUUCACAUUAAUUAGUUAAUUUUUAUCAUGAGACCACUUCAAGCAUAAUAAGUUCAUACGGUGUCUAAUACUUAUAAUUUACAAACUGAAGGGAAUAUUAUGACAUCAAGAAGAUUUUCAAGGUUAAAGAGGUCAAUCAUUCGUAAUGAUUUUAUUAUAUAUUUAUAAUUUUGUUGGAACUAAUUAUGAUAAUUGAUUAAUGUCACAAAGUCAUGUAUGAAGCUGACUCUAAACUUUAGUGAUGUGAUGAUAGAAGAAUUAGAGUCUAUGUUUAAAAAUGAAGUUUAAGAUCUUAACAAAUUACUAAGAGAGGCUACAACUGUUAUAAAUGAGUCAAUAAACUAAAAUGAGAUAUCUAUGAUAAUAUAAAAAAGUUUGACUUAUAGGAUAAAUUUUGAGUUAGAAAGAAGACAUUGAUUAUCAUCAUAGCUACUUUCCUAUUUCUAAGAAAGACUCACUCAAGUAACUCAUUUUGAUUUAAAAUUAUAUCAAACGGAUGGGAAGAUAAGAGUUUUUCUAAUAAAAGUUAUUUAAAUUAUAAGUUAAAGAAAUUAAUAUAUGAAGUGGCAUACUAAAUUUUAAAAUAUUAUUACCUCUUAUGGCUUUACUAUAGAAACACUAUAGAUCAAUAUGUGUAUGUUAAGAUUAGUGGUACCAAAAUAAUUUUGUUAGUACUACAUAUUGAUGAUAUCUUAUUUGCAAGUAAUAACUUUAUUGUGCUACAUAAAACAAAGCAUUUUCUUUCUUAAAUUCUUGAGAUGAAGAAAUUAGGUAAAGCCUCUUAUGCUAUUGGUAUAGAGAUUUAUAGAGAUAAUUAUAAAAUAUCAUUAGGAUUAUCCUAAAAUAUCAUUAUAAAAAAAUUAAAAAUAUUUAGAAUACAAGACUAUUCUUUUUUUCAAUAGUGCAGCGAAAGGAGAUUAAAUUAGUCAGAAUCAAUAUUAAUAAAAUGAUUUGAGAAAGGAGCAGAUGAAAAAUACGUCCUAUGUGUCUAUUGUUGAAUGCUUAAUGUAUGAAUAAUUAGAGUAGAAAUGCGUAGUAGAUAAUAAUAAUAAUAAUAAUAAUAAUAAUAAUAAUAAUAAUAAUAAUAAAAGACUCACUAAAGGCUGCAAAGAAGAUCAUAAGAUAUUUUUAAAAAAUAAAUGAUUAUAUAUUAGUUUAUAGACAAUCUAAUCGACUUGAGAUAAUUUAUAUUCAGAUUUUGGUGGACGUGUGGAUAUUCAAAAGUCUAUGAAUAUAUUUUUUCUAUCAGUUGAAUAUGUAGUAUUUUGGAGAAGUAACAUACAAACUGUUUGUUGCUUUAUUCCACUAUAGAAGAGUUUGCCACUGCUUAGGCGGUUAUGGAACAUUUAUCUCGUAGCUAAAAGUUAUCAAUUUAGUUAUUUGACCUAUAAAAAUCUUUUGUGACAACUCAAUCAUCAUUUUUUUUAAAUUUUAUGAACGAACGAUAAGUAGAAUUCUCACUAAGCAUAUUGAUGAUAUAAACUAUCCUGCUAUUGAGAAUCACAUAAAAAAGAAUGAAGUAGAUAUUUAUUAUGCUCGCAUCCAACUAAUAAUUACAGAUCUCAUAGUCAAAGGUUUAUCGACAAUAUACUAUAAGAGUCAUGUGGAGCAUAUGAGGAUUAUUAGUUUAUGCAAUAUUUGAUAUAAUAUAUUGCUUUAAAUUUUUUUUAUAAAUAAAAAGUAUCCGACUUUUGUAUGCAUAAAGUAGUAUGCAUGGAUAAAAUUUGUUGGAUGUUGAAUGACUAAUAGUCAUUCAUAAAUUAAUUAACUCAUAAAGUACUUAUCUGGAGGGUGUUAUAUGUUGUAAUACGUACAAGUAUUAUAUUAACUAAAUACAGCUCCUAUGAUUUAAGUGUUGCAUCCUUUUCCAAGAGUAUGAGUUGUAAUAUAUGACCAGAUUUAUUUUCAUCAUCAUAUAAAGAUAUUAUCACUCCUUGCUAAUUUUUAAGAGGUUAUGACACGUGGACCAAUUAGAAGAAUGUUAAAAUUUUUAUAAGUUAUUGGAAUCCCAUACUCCACUUAAUAAGUUAUUCUGGAACCCUAACAUGUAAUUUAUAUAAUUUUCUGUUAGGAUAUUUUUUCUGAGCUUUUGAAUAAUAUUUAUUGAGUCUGUUUAGUUCAGUUAAAAUCAUGUAAAUUCUCUUGGAGAUAAUAAAAUAUUAUUAUUCAAUCUUUUGACAAAACCUUAAGAGACCGAUCCCCUCAAGUGUUCAAAGAGGCCAAUCUCCUUGAAGUGAUCAUUUCGUUUUCUCCCUUUUUCUUCCAUGAUAAGACCCUAGGGUCUUACCAUUUUCUUCGUUAGACAAUUGAGCAAUAAAACUUAGCUACGCAUUAUGCAGGAGCUACAAGGAAUUAAGAAAGCCCAUGGCCAGAGCAAACUACCACGAUCGGGGACAUUAACAUUUAGAGUUGCUGCAAACUAUUGGCCAUGUUAGCAAGAGCACUCUUUCACGAGAAAUAGAGCUUGUAAAUGAUUUGGUUGUGUAAGCAAACACAUCUCAGGGUUCAAUCCCAGUAUAAAUCUGCUGAGGAACCAUCUGGGUUUAGACUUAAUACAGAAGGAUUUAGGCAUGUGUGUGGUGCUUCGACAGAGAUACAGCGGAUUUGCUUGCAAAGGGUGUGUGACACCCCCACCCCCAGGGCUUAUUUUUGGUUUAACCCCACAAAGAAUUCAACACAAGGAAUUAGCAGUCCGUGGUGGUAUGCCGAAAACAAUGGGAGGGAGUUGAGUGCAGACUAUAGGAAUACCCCAAUAAUCACACAUUGGCCAAAUCGGACAGAGUUUCUUUUCGGCUAGACAAUAUGUCAUUCACUUGGCAGACAUAACGAGAGAGAACAUGACUAGAUCGUUCUGAAACAUAUAUAACAAAACAAAACAAAACAAAAAAGAUUGCCAGGCAAACGUUCAAUUAAAAAGCACAGAUGAAACAAUCUAGUCACCACUCGUAAUCCAUUUCCUCACUACAACGGAGAUGAGAUAAAAAGGGUCGGAAAAAGGAUGCUUACUCGAUCCCUCUUUAUCUUGUCUCGUGAAGCGUAAAAAAUGUCGUAUCUUUCGGCUGUAGCAUUUUGAGGGUUCAUUCAUGGAUUCGGAAUUAGGCUUUGGUCGGCUAACAAGGACUUGGUCAAAGCAGAAGCAAUUGGAACUGAUGUUCUUGAAAUAGACUCGAUCGAUCCAUGGCAGAUAUAUGCUACCGUCUUCGGAUGCUUCAAAAUUGAAUUUAAAUGGAUAUUUAUUUUCUACUCUCAACUUCCAUAUCGAUUGUGCCGUGCAAUAUAGUCAGUCUCAUAAUCAUUCCAAGGGAUGACUUUAGUUGCAAUAAGCAAAAUAGAUUUAGUAAGUAUUUUUCAUAUAUAUAUAUAUUAUAUCGAAUUUACAUAGGUUGAGAUUGUGAAUAUUAGAGAUUAGGAGGAGCAUAAAAAGAACAUUCAUUCACAAUCAAGAUCUCGGUUUUUCUUUUUGUUUUUUUGAGAUUUGCAUAGAAAAAUCUUAAUAAAAUAUGUUGGAGCAGUCAUCAUAUCAAUAUCAGUACAUGCCGAUCGGCAUUUAUUUAUUAUUUAUAAAUACACACCGAAAACAGAUUGUUGUUUUAGUUAUUGGAUGGUAGCGAUCAGCAAAUUACCAAAAUCAAUACAAACAAAUUACGGAAACGACAUCUGAUCAGUGUGUCGAGAAGUAAUGAUGUGACGAGUCUCCACUGUUUCUUCUUCUUCUUCUUCCCUUUCCUCCAUUGGAUGCAGAAAAGAAAUAACGAAAACUAAUUUAAUCGUUCGGAUUAGAAAGACAAGCACAAGGGAUCGAGUAGUAGCAGCAACAGGAACAACUAUUUCAUCUCACACACCAAAGGAUAUACAUCUCAGUGUGGUUAUACAACUCGGAGAACGCAGCUAACACGAUAGCAUCGUCGACAACAACUCCAACUCCAACACCAACAAAAAGCAGCAAGCAACAAAAGCAACGAAUACGAUCUAACCGUAGCAAACCUAAUCGAAACAAAGCCAGCAGCAGCAGAUCUACAUGGACGAGGGGAGGAAGAAGAAGAAGUCAGCAGCCACGAGUCAACCCCUGAUGUGGCGAACCUUGUGCCAGGUCUUCUUGCAGGUCUCCCCCACCACCUUCAUCCCCUUCUUCACCAGGUGCUUCAACUCCUUGGCUCGCUCCUUCACCUGCUCCUCGAAGCCUCCGGCCAUGGCGACCUCUCACGCUGUGUUCCUUCCCACCCAGAUUCCACUUCUUUAAUAGGGAUAUCUAUGUGUGCAUCGCUCUCUCCCUCUCCAUACUUUUAUUUUUUAUUUUUAUUUUUUGUAAUGUAUACGUAUCCAGUGGUGGGAUUUGAAAUAUGCCGUGAUACGUGCCAUGCACCGUUGGGAUGAUCAUGGUUUGCACGAUUUCCGGGCUUUUGAAAAAGAUAGCAGUGACCGAGUUGGAUAGCAGAUAAGAACAGGGUGUAAAGCAAAGGCUCUUUUACAGAGACGAGACAGAGAUGAUGAAGGUAAAACAAAUACCAUCGAAACACGUUAUAAUCCUAGCAAAACAUGCGACAUA